GCCGGGCGCGGUGGAGCACACCUGUAAUCCUAGUGGCUCUGGAGGCCCAGACAGGAGGAUCGCAAGUUCAAAACCAGUCUCAGCAAUGUCGAAACACUUAACAACUCAGUGGGACCCUGUCUCUA
rnacentral:sRNA from 1 species